UGCUCCUUCGACGUUAGCGGCGGACGGGUGAGUAACACGUGGGCAACCUACCUUAUAGUUUGGGAUAACUCCGGGAAACCGGGGCUAAUACCGAAUAAUCUGUUUCACCUCAUGGUGAAACACUGAAAGACGGUUUCGGCUGUCGCUAUAGGAUGGGCCCGCGGCGCAUUAGCUAGUUGGUGAGGUAACGGCUCACCAAGGCGACGAUGCGUAGCCGACCUGAGAGGGUGAUCGGCCACACUGGGACUGAGACACGGCCCAGACUCCUACGGGAGGCAGCAGUAGGGAAUCUUCCACAAUGGGCGAAAGCCUGAUGGAGCAACGCCGCGUGAGUGAAGAAGGAUUUCGGUUCGUAAAACUCUGUUGUAAGGGAAGAACAAGUACAGUAGUAACUGGCUGUACCUUGACGGUACCUUAUUAGAAAGCCACGGCUAACUACGUGCCAGCAGCCGCGGUAAUACGUAGGUGGCAAGCGUUGUCCGGAAUUAUUGGGCGUAAAGCGCGCGCAGGUGGUUUCUUAAGUCUGAUGUGAAAGCCCACGGCUCAACCGUGGAGGGUCAUUGGAAACUGGGAGACUUGAGUGCAGAAGAGGAUAGUGGA
rnacentral:rRNA from 1 species